rnacentral:rRNA from 1 species
CCUGAGAAACGGCUACCACAUCCAAGGAAGGCAGCAGGCGCGCAAAUUACCCACUCCCUGAACGGGGAGGUAGUGACGAUAAAUAACGAUGCAGAACUCUUUCCGAGGCUCUGCAAUCGGAAUGGGUAUACUCUAAACACUUGUACGAGUAUCCACUGGAGGGCAAGUCUGGUGCCAGCAGCCGCGGUAAUUCCAGCUCCAGUAGCGUAUAUUAAAGUUGUUGCGGUUAAAAAGCUCGUAGUUGGAUCUGUAUUUCGAGCCGUCGGUUCGCCGCCCGUCGGCGUUUAACUGACGCGACUUCGAAACGUCCUGCCGGUUGGCGGUCGGUCGCGCGUCUUAUCUUCGGAUUUGACGGACUUGCGACGCGCCAGUGCUUACACCCGUUCCCGAUAUUCUUCACUGAGUGUCGAGACGGGCCGGCACGUUUACUUUGAAUCAAACUGGGUGCUCAAGGCAGGCAAAUUUUACCGCUUGAAAGAUCUUGCAUGGAAUAAUGGAAUAGGACCUCGGUUCUAUCUUGUUGGUUUCCGGAACCCCGAGGUAAUGAUAAAUGGGGACUGACGGGGGCAUUAGUAUUGCGGCGUUAGAGGUGAAAUUCUUGGAUCGUCGCAAGACUACCUAAAGCGAAAGCAUUUGCCAAGGAUGUUUUCAUUAAUCAAGAACGAAAGUUAGAGGUUCGAAGGCGAUCAGAUACCGCCCUAGUUCUAACCAUAAACGAUGCCAGCCAGCGAUCCGCGGUGGUUCGUUUGUAAUGACCCCGCGGGCAGCUUCCGGGAAACCAAAGCUUUUGGGUUCCGGGGGUAGUAUGGUUGCAAAGCUGAAACUUAAAGGAAUUGACGGAAGGGCACCACCAGGAGUGGAGCUUGCGGCUUAAUUUGACUCAACACGGGAAACCUCACCAGGCCCAGACACUGAAAGGAUUGACAGAUUGAUAGCUCUUUCUUGAUUCAGUGGGUGGUGGUGCAUGGCCGUUCUUAGUUGGUGGAGUGAUUUGUCUGGUUAAUUCCGAUAACGAACGAGACUC